GACGAACGCUGGCGGCGUGCUUAACACAUGCAAGUCGAGCGGAAAGGCCACUUCGGUGGUACUCGAGCGGCGAACGGGUGAGUAACACGUGAGUAAUCUGCCCCUGGCUUUGGGAUAGCCACAGGAAACGGUGAUUAAUACCGGAUACGACCACUUCUCGCAUGGGAUGGUGGUGGAAAGUUUUUUCGGCCAGGGAUGUGCUCGCGGCCUAUCAGCUUGAUGGUGAGGUAAUGGCUCACCAUGGCUUCGACGGGUAGCCGGCCUGAGAGGGUGACCGGUCACACUGGGACUGAGAAACGGACCAGACUCCUACGGGAGGCAGCAGUGGGGAAUAUUGGACAAUGGGCGGAAGCCUGAUCCAGCAACGCCGCGUGAGGGAUGACGGCCUUCGGGUUGUAAACCUCUUUCAGCAGGGACGAAGCGCAAGUGACGGUACCUGCAGAAGAAGCACCGGCCAACUACGUGCCAGCCGCCGCUGUAA
rnacentral:rRNA from 1 species